rnacentral:rRNA from 1 species
CACGUAGGGCGCGAGCGUUGUCCGGAAUUAUUGGGCGUAAAGAGCUCGUAGGCGGCCUGUUGCGUCCGCUGUGAAAGCCCCGGGGCUUAACCCCGGGUCUGCAGUGGAUACGGGCAGGCUAGAGGUAGGUAGGGGAGAAUGGAAUUCCCGGUGUAGCGGUGAAAUGCGCAGAUAUCGGGAGGAACACCGGUGGCGAAGGCGGUUCUCUGGGCCUUGCCUGACGCUGAGGAGCGAAAGCGUGGGGAGCGAACAGG